AUGCUCACUUGCUGUUUUCUUACUCUUAGUUACCUGAUGUUUAAGAUUCAUCCACAUAACACUGAUACACUUCUGCUGUCACUUACUGUGUCUGCCUUGUGUGGGGCUUGGGUGUGGGCUCCCAGCUGGAGCUGUCUGAGGUGUCGUUGCCUUUCAGCUGUUUGCUAUGAGUGCUUGAUAUGGGAGAGGGAUAGCUCAGGCUGGGUUUUUGCCUGUGGCUGCUGCUGUAGGCUAGACUGCAAGACAGGAGCUGUGGGGAGCGUAGGGGUUUUUGUCAGCUUUGCACAGACCCCUUUCUGCAGGAACUGGAGGCUGUGUGAUUGGAGAGCGAUGCCACUAAUGGGAGCCUACUUGUACUUUGUCCAAAGGAAAGAGACAGCUCAGUGCUCUGUCAUUGCAGCGCAGCUGGAGCAGGCAGGGACGGGGAUGCCAAAGCACAGCUCGCUCCUCCUUGCUGCCACCGUGCUCAGGCAACACACACCAGGGAGCCCUUGCUGGGACCUCCUGUCUGUGGGUCUGCAUGGCCGUGGGAUGACCUGA
rnacentral:lncRNA from 1 species